rnacentral:rRNA from 1 species
UUAAAAGAAAAUAUUAUUUAAAUAGGAAUAUAAAGAAAGAUUAAUAAAUUAAAUAAAAAAUUUUAUCUAAUUCUUCAUAAAAAUAUAUUAAAAAAAAGAACUGAAACAUCUUAGUAAAUAAAUAAAAUAUAUUAUUGAAAGUAGUGGCGAACGAAAUCAAUAAAAAAAUAAAAACAUUGAAUUACACAAAAUCAACUUCUUAAAUUACCUAUAAAAAUAGUACUGUAAAGGAAAUUUAUAAAUAAUAUAAAUAAUUAAUGACAAUCAUUUACCUUUUGUAUAAUGGACUUAUAAGAAUAAAAACUUGCAAGCUUAAAGGCUAAAAGAAAUUAAAAAAGUAAGUUUAACCCGAAACCAAAUGAUCUAAUUGUGAAUAGUCGUAAGGACGAAUUAAUAAGUGUAGAAAAACUUUUAAAAAAUUUGCAAUUAGCAGCGAAAAACUAAUCGACUUUGGAUAUAGCUGGUUCUUUGCGAAAAUUAUAUAAGUAAAAUCAUUUUUAUAAAAGAUUAGACUAAAAGCUCAAAUGUUUUUAGUCAAAAAGAAAAUAAUUUUAAUCAGAAAUUAUUAUGUAAAAAUUAAAAAGUUAAAACCUAGAAAUCAUACAAACACUAUAAAAAUAGGCUUAGAAACUGCCAAAUUUGAAAGAGUACGUAAUAGUUUAUUUAUUAAAAGAAUUAAUAUAAAAAUCAAACUUAUUUAAUAUAUAAAUCCUGAAAAAAAUUGGUAGCAAAGUAUUUUGUAUAAAAAAAGAAAUUAAAACAAAAGAAAUAAUAUAAGUAUAAGUAAAAUAAAAAUUAUUCCUAAGAUUUCUUAUUUUAAUAAAUGAAUAAGAUUAAACAGAUCCUCAAAAAAGAAGGGGUAAAAUAAUUAAAAUUUCAAGAAAAUAAAAUU